UGAGGUGGUGUAGUGGUGUGUGGAGGUGGUGUAGUGGUGUGUGGAGGUGUGUGGUGGGGUGUGGAGGUGGUGUGUAGUGGUGUGUGGAGGCGUGUGGUGGGGUGUGGAGGUGGUGUAGUGGUGUGUGGAGGUGUGUGGAGGUGGUGUAGUGGUGUGUGGAGGUGUGUAGUGGUGUGUGGAGGUGUGUGGUGGCGUGUGGUGGGUGUGGAGGUGGUGUGGUGGUGUGUGGAGGUGGUGUAGUGGUGUGUGGAGGUGUGUGGUGGGGUGUGGAGGUGGUGUAGUGGUGUGUGGAGGUGGUGUAGUGGUGUGUGGAGGCGUUUGGUGGUGUGUGGAGGUGGUGUAGUGGUGUGUGGAGGUGGUGUAGUGGGGUUUGGAGGUGGUGUAGUGGGGUUUGGAGGUGUGUGGAGGUGGUGUGGUGGGGUGUGGAGGUGGUGUGUGGAGGUGGUGUGUGGAGGGGUGUG
ensembl:lncRNA